rnacentral:lncRNA from 1 species
UGAUAAAUCGGGGGGCGUGACAGAGGUGGUAUCAGAGCAUUAUUUGAGGAUCACUAUAAGAUAGUUGAUACAUUUGAUUUGCAAAAUUAUAUUAAGAUUUAGUAAAUUAAAUUGAAAUCGAUGAAAAUUUUCUUUGAUAUCUUUUAGGGAUCUAGGAUGCAUCUGGUCGUCUCGAGGAAUGAAGUACGAAUGGCAGUGAUGUCGAAUUUUUAAAUUUUACUAGUUGGCUUAUUGACAUUUGGGAUGGAUUUUAUGAUGUGGUUUCGUUUAGAUGAGUUGGCUUUGGAUUUUAUGAAUCUUUGAGUGUUGUGUCGUAUGAUUAUAACUACCAAGUCUUAUGAAUUGUGUAUUAUGGGUGUGAAUUAUGACUUGAAUGAUUUUUAGUGUCCUCAAAUUUAGUAUGGAUUUCGUAUUAGAUUGUUGACUGAAUUUUCAUAUUAUGGAUUUUAGGACAGGGUCACACCUCCUGAAUGUGAUAAAUCGGGGGGCGUGACAGAGGUGGUAUCAGAGCAUUAUUUGAGGAUCACUAUAAGAUAGUUGAUACAUUUGAUUUGCAAAAUUAUAUUGAGAUUUAGUAAAUUACAUAGAAAUAGAUGAAAAAUUUCUUUGAUAUCUUUUAGGGAUCUAGGAUGCAUCUGGUCGUCUUGAGGAAUGAAGUACGAUUGGCAGGGAAGUCGAAUUUUUAAAUUUUAGAGGAUGGCUUAUUGACAUUUGUGAUGGAUUUUAUGAUGUAGUUUCGUUUAGGUGAGUUGACUUUGGAUUUUAUGAAUCUUUGAGUGUUGUGUCGUAUGAUUAUAACUGCCAAGUCUUAUGUAUUGUAGGAUUAUGGUUGUGAAUUAUGACUUGAAUGAUUUUUAGUGUCCUCAAAUUUAGUUAGGAUUUCGUAUUAGAUUGUUGACUGAAUUUUAAUAAUAUGGAUUUUAAGACAGGGUCAAAUCUCGUGAAUGUGAUAAAUCGGGUGGCGUGACAGAGGUGGUAUCAGAGCAUUAUUUGAGGAUCACUAUAAGAUAGUAAAUACAUUUGAUUUGCUAAAUUAUAUUGAGAUUUAGUAAAUUAUAUAGAAAUCGUUGAAAAUUUUGUUUGAUAUCUUUUAGGGAUCUAGGAUGCAUCUGGUCGUCUCGAGGAAUGAAGUACGAAUGGCAGUGAUGUCGAAUUUUAAAAUUUUAGAGGAUGGCUUAUUGACAUUUGGGAUGGAUUUUAUGAUGUGGUUUCGUUUAGAUGAGUUGGCUUUGGAUUUUAUGAAUCUUUGAGUGUUGUGUCGUAUGAUUAUAACUACCAAGUCUUAUGAAUUGUGGAUUAUGGGUGUGAAUUAUGACUUAAAUGAUUUUUAGUGUCCUCAAAUUUAUAUGGAUUUCGUAUUA